GCCAGGGCAUGGCAAGUGGGUUGUUGACCUUUUUAUUUAUAACAGCACAUUUCACAAGUUCAAGUAGGCAGCCUUGGAAUUUCACUACACAGUAUGGGAAUUGCAGGAAAAAUCAGAAAUUCCGUCGCCUUCAAGGAAAGUAAUAACCGUUGGGCAACAAGGACAACGAGGUUUGAGGUGAUUGUCACCCUCUAGAAGCACCGGCUACCGGUUUUUGCAGCUCAACAGACAACCACAUAUUCAACACUAUGCCUCAAAGGUACAUAAGAAAAACCAUCAGAGCAUCUUCAUAAAUGCAAGAAUAUUUAAAAAUAUCCUUCUUAUUGGUG